UACAGAGGAGCCAAGCGUUGUCCGGAUUGACUGGGCGUAAAGCGCACGCAGGCGGAUGCGCGCGUGGGGUGUGAAAUCUGGCCGCUUAACGGCCAGGCGCCAUCCCAUACGGCGCGUCUGGAGUGAUGCAGAGGUCGAUGGAAUUGCCGGUGUAGUGGUGAAAUGCGUAGAGAUCGGCAUGAACACCCAGGGGGAAACCAGUCGACUGGGCAUCUACUGACGCUGAGGUGCGAGAGCGUGGGGAGCGAACCGG
rnacentral:rRNA from 1 species